CUCGUAGGCGGCUUGUCGCGUCUGCUGUGAAAACCCGAGGCUCAACCUCGGGCCUGCAGUGGGUACGGGCAGACUAGAGUGCGGUAGGGGAGAUUGGAAUUCCUGGUGUAGCGGUGGAAUGCGCAGAUAUCAGGAGGAACACCGAUGGCGAAGGCAGAUCUCUGGGCCGUAACUGACGCUGAGGAGCGAAAGCAUGGGAGCGAACA
rnacentral:rRNA from 1 species